GUCUUAAGCUUGUUGUGCCCAGACACGGGCUUCAAAUGUAAUUUCACUUCUUGGCUCCCUGCGAAGCCAGGUAGCAGAUUUUAGGUGCCAUUCAUGAGAGCAACGUGGGAGAGAAAGACAAUUAGAUCUGACCUGUAGCAGGCACAAUUCCCAGGAAGUUAUUCUGCACAAGCCUUACCAAAAUAUUGUACUUAUUCCCCAGUAACUUGUGUUCUGUAUCGGAGAUUCCAGAUUAUAUGUUUAUUGAGCAUUCAUCUGGAUACACUCACACCGAGGUUAUACAACCAGCUAGUGGUUGUUAUCUUAUAGGGUGGCAAUGACCAGGGCCAGAAUAAUCCUGGUCAGGCCAUAAAAGCAAGAGGAACUCCAUUUUCUAAAUCUCUCUGCCUCUGAUAGAAAGUAAAUUAGACAGCACUUUGCACACAGGCACAGCAUGUUUGCACAUCUAAUGCAAAGAUCUAACCACACACAGCACUUCUAAGAAAUUCUAGCAUAAACCACAAGAGCAAGAGGAUGUAGCCCACCGCAAAUUAUAAGUAGAGCACAACCACAAUUGUGCCUGUAAAAUUCCACAUAGACACGUGUAUGAAGGUACCAGGUACAUAACGCCACCUAGUAGAGUUGGGCGGGUGACUUUGCAUCUUGGGGUGCUCUCUCUUGAUUGGUUGAUGAAGUACUGCAGAAAGGCUGAUCUUCACUUCACUCUGUCAAAAAGGUAUAAAAGCACUCUGUGUAUGCCCAUGGGUCGGGCAGAAUGAGGAAUGGUUUUUUCCCUACUGCUCCAUAUUGUUUUGCCGACAAACCAAUAAUAAAAUUGUUCAACUGCCUGAGAUUUCGUCUGGUCAAUUUGGGAAGCCAGUCAUCCACCUUACAUUUCUGGUGCCGUGCGUGACUCGGAUGAGGGCAUUUCCCUGAACCAGAGGCAGUCCCCUUUUGCCCCACUGGACAGGGCGCAGAUUCCUAACGGCGCCUCUGGUCUGGUGCACACCGGCAGACUUUUUCCGGAGGAUCAGAGGUGGCCCUUGAGUUUCCGUGCCCUGGACGAAGAGGCAAAAGGACCGAGGUUGGAAGGGAAGAACAGGAAAAGCCGGCUGGGGUAAGUAGAAAGGGAAAAGGUACCUUGAAGGGAAUUGGCCCCCUUUAAUGAGGGGAAGGGAGAUCCUGAUCACAUCUCCAGCGUGUUGGUAGUACUCAGUUAAUCAGAGGUCAACUGGGAAAACCAGGCGCUUUGGGUAAGAGGCAAAAGGGAGGAGGAAAAUGUGUAUGUUAGUAGUCAGUAGGGAGGAGGUCCCUUGACAAAUAGAUACUUAGGAAACAAGGAAAAACUGGGAGGUAGAGUGUGGUAAAGUGUCCAAUGCAUGGUAUGUGUGGCAAAGUUUGCAGUGUGUGCUGUGAAUGAGGGGAUACUUUACAGGGCCAUAAAUGGGAGGAGUAUGGUCAAGAGGAGGGAAAAAUGUGAUUUCCCUAGAAUUCAUGAUAGAUAAAUUCAGAAUGUCAUAAAAGAAAUUUAAUUUACAAGUCCUGCCAACAACAAGUUCAGAGAAAAAGGGUGGCGCAAACCAGUAUUCCCCCCCCCCAGAGAGAAGAAAGGCAUUUUGAGAAAGAAGAUGAAGAGAAAGGCAGUGGUUAAACAGCAACAAAUAAUGGCUCAAGGACCAGUGAGGAACCAGAAGGGGUUCAAAGGUCACUGGUGAAGGUCAGUUGCUAGGACGGAGAUGUCUCGGUCAAUGUAAAAGAGGAAGGAAGAGUGUUCGGAGAAAGAUGGGACAAGGGGGUCCCAGCAGAAGAGAGUUCGUCGGUUUGGCAGGCAUGGCAAGGAGCCAUGGUCAAGGUGACUUAAGAGUUACCUGCAUCUGGACUUUGUUAUAAACAUAGGCACCCAGUAUUCUGUUUUUAAAUAUCCUUGAAACAGCCCCAAAAAGCCAAAAGAAGCAUCAGACUGAUUUUAUGCCUAAAAGGGCUGUACAAACAGACAGCGGAGGAUUGGUUCAGAAAAAUCAUCUCUGCAACCUUUAAAAUGCUAUUCACCACACUAGAAAUGAGGCUACCGCCGCACAGGAUACUGACAAAAUGCCAGUAAUGGUGCUCAGAAAAUGUUUUCAUAUGCUUCAGCUGGCUUCAAAAGAAAAGAAAAGGAAAAAAUCAUGUACUUAAGUAGUUCACAACGCAAGAGACAAUAGAUUUUAUUUGAACAAUUAACAUCUUUUCCCCAAGUCCUGUUGGAGCUGUGCAGAUUUUAAUUUUGGGGAAACUUACAAGAAUGGGGAAAAAGAGACAUUUGAGUCCUUCAAAAAGCAAACUACGUUUAAAAAGGGUUUUACCCUCCUACCUGCAACCCCAUUUCAUAUGUCUUUGUGACAGCAACAUGUUGGAAAAAUUGUAGAACUGCAUAUUUUAAUGAAAUGAAUGUUUAUCAACUAAAGAAUUCAGGAUAAGGUAGAAGGAAGUUAUACUGAAUGGAGAUUUGUGUGUAAAGACAUUGUCUGUUUGAAUCUAACACUACCAUUGGAAGACAGGCUGCGAAAAAUCUCAAGCAGUCUCUCAAACCUCCGGCAGAGAUGUGUGGCGUAACCCCCCUUAUUUGGUUACACAAGCGAUUCUGCAUGAUUUGUAUUUGCACAACUUGCUUUCUCCUGCAACCUGCACUUAGAGACUGUGGCUGUGCCUGGCUGGUGUUGCCAUUUCGGACAUUCUAUUGUGUGACAUUGUGUGACCAAGACCGUUGCUGUGAAAGUAGGGAGAAAAAGAUGUUAUGCUUUGGAGGUCCACAUUUCAGCUUACAAAAACACUACUGCUCUAAAUGCUUUGACUUUAAAAAUUUUAUGUCUCACGGAAACAGCCCGUUGCUACAAAGCAGCUGUAAGUUUUUUCUUCUUCUAGAAACCACAAGACUUUGCAUAAUUUGAAAAACAGGCUUCAGUAUCCUAGCAGAACUCAGCCGUCGGCAGCUGGAUGGGAGGCAAAUACGGAUUUAAAGGACCCCUCCUUAACCCUGCACAUGCAUGAAGUUCUGUGGAAGGAAAGAGAAACCACGGGGAGAUCCUGAAAGAUGGACCAGACGUGGAAUCCUGUUGCAAGCCUUGUGAAAUUCGGCAAAGACUGCUGUAAGGCACUGCUGCUAUAUCCCAGAGAUGACUUCUCAACUAACUGCUGCUACAUCCCAGAGAUGACUUCUGUGUGCCAGACACACCUCAAUGUCCAAUACGUGGGACGCACUACCUCGGAGAGUUUGGUGGUGGACUAACCAGCAAGAAGUUCUAAAACAGCAGCGGCAGCUACAAGGACAAUCUCUCUCCCCCCCCCCCUCCUUUGUUUUUUAUCUACAGGAAAUCACUCGAGCGAAGAGCGUGUAGCCUUGCGGAGCCUGACACGAUGGUUCCAGCCUGACGCUAGCGAGUCCCUGAGUGAAUCCUUGAAGGAAGGGAGACGAGACCCUCUUCAUUCCUAGGUGGUGAGGUAUCCAUUCCAUCCGGUGAAAGUGCCUGAGAUGACCCCCUGGAUCCACACCCUGCUGUACCUAAUCAGGAGUGGGUACCCAGCGCACGGUGCACCAGUUUCCCCUUGCAGCGUCUGACCGGCAAAAGACGCCCAGCGCAUGGGAAACCGAAGUAGCCCCUGCUGUGACACUCCGGACGCUGUCACUCGACGCACGGGUUGAGGAAUGUCCAUCUUAUGCAGCACCAAACAUCAAGGAGACAAGGAGACGCAGUAAAUCUUAGACCCUUAUAUAUGUAUGUAUGUAUGUAUAUUUGUAUGGGAGGCAUCAAUUGAGUGGGACCCACAGUAGAAGUCUACCUGCCCCCAAAGCAGUAUCCUUAAUUUGGAAGGAAGGGCAGUGUACCUGCCUCACUUGAGCGAACAGACCCAAAACAGUUUCAGAAAUUGAACCAUGGGGUGGGUUCCAGCAACUCCCUAGGUGAUACAGGGCUAUAGCUGGGUUGGGGAUGUAACUGGAAGAGCUGGCCAGGUGCACCCCUCAGUUCUGGCUUUGGAAAUGAUGGGAGAAGCUUCUGGUAGUCCACUGAUAUCUAAUGCAAGCCUCUCCUGAUUCUGGCAAACUGGAACAAUAGCCAUUCUUUCUGUAGCCAAAUGCUCAGCUAGGACAAACCUCCAAUUGUUAUAUAUAUAUAUAUAUAUUCCUGGCCUUUAGAACUGUGUAGGAACUUUUGAAACCCACUGAUUUGCAUUGAAGCCCAGUACUGAGCUGAGAGAGAACUGUGUAUUUUCCUGCUGACAUAAAGUUUUGGAAACAGUGGCUAAAGCCCCUUGGCUUUUAGAUUUCCAGCAACUAUAGUAUCCUAGUAUCUCUGAAGACUAGUGUGGCCAUUAUAGAUUCAUGGCCCACCUGAGAGAAAGAACCCUUUGUUGCCAAAAGUCUGUAUUGCGAUUUUUUUGUGUGCCUCAAAUGGAAAUGCAAUGUAGUAGAAAGUGGCACUUGUGCUUCGACAAAAAUGAUGUUUGUAUAAUGCAAAUAUGUGUUCCCAGUUAGGUCUAACACGAAGGCUAAAAACUUCAACAGAAAAUGCUUAGGAGUUAUGGAAAUAGAUUAAUCAAAAGCUGAACCAGGCUUAAAUUCAGCAAGCAUUUUUACUCUGCUUUAUAGCAUCAAGCUGAAGCAGAAAAAAAAAAAACUUUCAUGGUUAUUUUACACUGACAGUUCUGCAGACUGAAUGCCUUAAUCUACAGGCUCUCAGAGUUUGUGUAUAGCCC